ensembl:lncRNA
UGGCUAAAUAACUUCCCGGCGCUGCAUUAGGAAGAAUGGGAGGGAGACUGGUCACCAGUUUUGGCAUCAGGCUAAUAUCUUUUAUUUUCCUUAACCGCGGACACUUAUAGUCUGUUUUUGUAUAGUAGUUUUUUUUUUAGAUAUACUGUCUGUGAGCAGUAUGGAUUUACCCAUUGACUCCAGCCUGUUCUUGUCGGAUGACCAAGAUGUGGCCAAACUGGUGCAGGAAGAAUUCCAAAAACAAAUACUUGCGGACAGUGAGAAAUCUCAAAAGGCCCAAAACGCAAGGAAGAAUACGGAUCUCUGGGACAGUCUAUGGAACUCUGUUGACCCAGUAGUUAAUAAACUGGUUAAUCAAGUGGCCAGUCCCGUCUUUAGUCCGGUCUUCUGCUUGGCUUGUGACACCAUGUUCUUCAAUAGGCUGACCCUUGAGGAGCAUGUCUGCCCUUUUGUUAGCUUCAUUUGUUCGUGUGGUAUUGGUUUCACCAGUUAUCCUGAAAUGUGGUCCCACAGUCUGUCCCACAACCACAAAGCAUCGUACGUAGUGAAUCACAAAAGUGCUAUCCAGAACAGGAUCAAUUCAGUUAAAGAGCAGGAAUCCAAGCUGAAGUUUUUAGAGGCUACUGCGAAGAACGUCGGCAUUGUCCAGAAGGCCGUUCCGGCCACACAUUCUGCUACAUCUAUGACGAGGUACGCCGUCGGACGAACGAUUAACCUUUGGAGGCGUUUCAAACCAGUGGUGAAGAUCGAGACUCUUCAGGCGUUUCCCUGUCAAAGGAAUUACAUGUGCAUGGUUUGCCGCGAAGUGAUGUGUAAUCAGGACGUGCUCAUCGAGCAUGUCCAUGCCUCACACCAUAACACCUGCAUAUAUGGCUGCAUUCGCUGCGGGCUGCUUUUGAUAAGCAGCGUGACUCCGAAACCUCACCACAAGUGCGGCUCCCUUUACACCGGCCCUUCCAAAAGGUUCACUGUUGGCCACGUGGUUAAAGACCCUCUGGCAGCAGACAGACUGUAUAUGCCUUAUGCUUGUCAGUACUGCUCUCUGAAAUUUUGUCAUCCAGUGCACCUAAGCAACCACAUCCAUCUCAACCACACCAACGUAUCCAAACUGCGUGUAAACAAGUCGCAAGGAAGCAGCGCCAAAAGAGUCCAGCACACUUUGAAGAACAUGCCAAACAGAACCUCACAAACUCAAAAACAGAGGUGCGCGCUUUGCGGCAAAAUGAACGACUCAAUCAAGAUGCUUGCGCAGCACUGGUGCGUGAGGAAGCUGACUUUGUUCAAGGCUGAGAAGGUCACAAAGAUGAUCAGCGAGAAAGACCAACAAAGAUCAGACUGGUGCUCACCAAUAGAGAGUGACAGCGAAGAACUGACCUUCUGCUUUCAGGACAUCAGUGACAUGACGACGCAUGGUCAUACAAAGCUACUGACGAUAAAAACGGAGCCGGUAGAGGUGAACCUGAAGAUGACCCAAACAGACUUUUCUCAGAGGGCUACUGACCGUUUCUGA